ACGGACGAGAAGCUUGCUUCUCUGAUGUUAGCGGCGGACGGGUGAGUAACACGUGGAUAACCUACCUAUAAGACUGGGAUAACUUCGGGAAACCGGAGCUAAUACCGGAUAAUAUUUUGAACCGCAUGGUUCAAAAGUGAAAGACGGUCUUGCUGUCACUUAUAGAUGGAUCCGCGCUGCAUUAGCUAGUUGGUAAGGUAACGGCUUACCAAGGCAACGAUGCAUAGCCGACCUGAGAGGGUGAUCGGCCACACUGGAACUGAGACACGGUCCAGACUCCUACGGGAGGCAGCAGUAGGGAAUCUUCCGCAAUGGGCGAAAGCCUGACGGAGCAACGCCGCGUGAGUGAUGAAGGUCUUCGGAUCGUAAAACUCUGUUAUUAGGGAAGAACAUAUGUGUAAGUAACUGUGCACAUCUUGACGGUACCUAAUCAGAAAGCCACGGCUAACUACGUGCCAGCAGCCGCGGUAAUACGUAGGUGGCAAGCGUUAUCCGGAAUUAUUGGGCGUAAAGCGCGCGUAGGCGGUUUUUUAAGUCUGAUGUGAAAGCCCACGGCUCAACCGUGGAGGGUCAUUGGAAACUGGAAAACUUGAGUGCAGAAGAGGAAAGUGGAAUUCCAUGUGUAGCGGUGAAAUGCGCAGAGAUAUGGAGGAACACCAGUGGCGAAGGCGACUUUCUGGUCUGUAACUGACGCUGAUGUGCGAAAGCGUGGGGAUCAAA
rnacentral:rRNA from 1 species